rnacentral:rRNA from 1 species
ACCCCUUGAUCCAGCAACGCCGCGUGAUUGAUGAAGGCCUUCGGGUUGUAAACCUCUUUUUUCACGGAAGAAAAAGACGGUACCUGCUUAAAAAGCCCCGGCUAACCCCUUGCCCCCCCCCCCCGUUUUAAAACCUGCCCCGCGGUAAUAA